AGACUGAGAGAAAAAGGUGCCAAAAACAAACCGUUCACACUUUACUAACUCCGAGACUGUGAUAGUGAAAUUGAAAGAUAAAGCAAAAGAGAAGAAGAAGAAGAUGGGAUAGAAUGAAAUAGCAGCUAACACUUCCCACUCAUUGCUGUUCGCUUUUGCAGUAGAGAAAAGUAGGAAAAACGUUUUUGAGCGU
ensembl:ncRNA C52G5.10 ncRNA